GAUUUCUUAAAGCAGGGGAUCCAGAGCCCCUUCUAUUGCAUAACCUAAAAAAGCUAUAAGCAAAGUACCCAAGUGGUUGCGGAAACGAGACGCUUUGGUUACCGGCGAACGCUUCCAAAGGCGACCCCUUCGAGUUUCCGGCUGUUUCCUAGAUUGAAGUAGCCCUUCGUCGCCCGAAAGAAUAUCAAAGAGCUCGGCCUACCUUUGGUAGGCCUUUGGUGCGCGGAGCACGGUGACUAAGAAAGAAAUUGGUUUGCGCUUGAAUUGAUGAGGUCGCAAAGAGGGAAGUAGGGCUCCUAUUGAAAUGAAACG
rnacentral:lncRNA from 1 species